rnacentral:tRNA from 1 species
GGUAGCGUAGACCAGUUCGUAAGAACACUAUCGUGACAUGGUAGGGGUCGGUGGUUCGAAUCCACUCGCGACUACCA